rnacentral:rRNA from 1 species
GAACUUCACCGGGUGGUCUGCCGCAAGGUGUGUACUGCUGGUUGAGGUUCAACACUACUCGAAGACCGUGCGUGCUCUUCACUGAGAUGCGUAAGGGACUCGAGGCUUUUACUUUGAAAAAAUUAGAGUGUUUAAAGCAAGCAUUCGCUUGAAUACAUUAGCAUGGAAUAAUAGAAUAGGACUUUGGUUCUAUUUUGUUGGUUUAGGGCCGAAGUA